GCUUGCUGGGUGGAUUAGUGGCGAACGGGUGAGUAACACGUGAGUAACCUGCCCUUGACUCUGGGAUAAGCCUGGGAAACUGGGUCUAAUACUGGAUAUGACUGCUCCGCGCAUGCGGUGGUGGUGGAAAGCUUUUGCGGUUUUGGAUGGACUCGCGGCCUAUCAGCUUGUUGGUGGGGUAAUGGCCUACCAAGGCGACGACGGGUAGCCGGCCUGAGAGGGUGACCGGCCACACUGGGACUGAGACACGGCCCAGACUCCUACGGGAGGCAGCAGUGGGGAAUAUUGCACAAUGGGCGCAAGCCUGAUGCAGCGACGCCGCGUGAGGGAUGACGGCCUUCGGGUUGUAAACCUCUUUCAGUAGGGAAGAAGCUUUCGGGUGACGGUACCUGCAGAAGAAGCGCCGGCUAACUACGUGCCAGCAGCCGCGGUAAUACGUAGGGCGCAAGCGUUAUCCGGAAUUAUUGGGCGUAAAGAGCUCGUAGGCGGUUUGUCGCGUCUGCUGUGAAAGACCGGGGCUCAACUCCGGUUCUGCAGUGGGUACGGGCAGACUAGAGUGAUGUAUGGGAGACUGGAAUUCCUGGUGUAGCGGUGAAAUGCGCAGAUAU
rnacentral:rRNA from 2 species